rnacentral:rRNA from 1 species
CAAUAGCGUAUAUUAAAGUUGUUGCAGUUAAAAAGCUCGUAGUUGGAUUUGUGGCGUACGGUGUGUUCCGGGCACUUGUUGUCUGAGUAACCUGCUGUUGCCAUCCUUGGGUGGAACCUGUGUGGCAUUAGGUUGUCGUGCAGGGGAUGCCCAUCAUUUACUGUGAAAAAAUUAGAGUGUUCAAAGCAGGCUUAUGCCGUUGAAUAUAUUAGCAUGGAAUAAUGAGAUAGGACUUUUUUGUUAUUUUGUUGGUUUGCGCAAGAAGGUAAUGAUUAAUAGGGACAGUUGGGGGUAUUCGUAUUCCAUUGUCAGAGGUGAAAUUCUUGGAUUUUUGGAAGACGAACUACUGCGAAAGCAUUUACCAAGGAUGUUUUCAUUAA